CCCGACGUCAAUGAGACACACCACGAUUGGUCAACCGCAUAAAUCCAUAGGCGGAUAACGGAUGUUCAUACCCGGAUUCAAGCCACUAUAAAUCUUGCUGGAGACAUGUGUUCGCUACCCCAGCUCUGGCAACAGACAAGAUACGACGAUCAACAAACCUUGGUUUGAAAGUUCCAGAUAUCUGCAGCAACAUGAGCAUUCAACCACAAAUAAACGUUAUCUUGUACAGCAAUGCCAACCUCACUGGCGACUGUUUACCAGUAUCUAAAGACAUAGCGGAUUUGAACAUCUUCAAGAACAGGGCUCAGUCAGCCAUUGUAGUCCAUGGAAGUUGGCAGCUAGCAAGCGCUUCGGGACACAUAUAUUCUCUUUCGAAGGGUACCGGAACAUAUUCUGACCUUGGUACUUUCAAACAAAAGGCCGUCUCCAUCACCCGAGUAUAAGGCGCCGUUGCCAUGAAGGAGACCCUCCCGACAAAGGGACAUACCAGCCACCUGCAUUUCUGCAUUUUCGUCUGCGAUUUCCUGUACUCUUGAUUUUCCUUUACUCCAGAUUGUUAUGCUUUUAAUGUCUAAUGUUUAGCUAUGCUUAAGUGGGUUUGCUUAAGGUGGGGAUAGGAACCGACGUAGGUUGUAAGUGUGUGGUUAUUACAGUGUUCAGAGACAAAUGGGUUUACUCUCACUGCCUCUUGGUACAGUUCAAGUCAAAAUCACGAAUAGUCAUAAUAUCUACAGAUAAACUAACUCGACAGAGCAAUUACAUCAUCUUAAUCCAACAAUGUUGUCUUUAAUUUUACAGUAAAAUGAUUAUAAAUAAAUACGAUGCAGAAAAUUAUUGCUCAUUUCUAUUCUGAAGUUCUUGGUGUAACAUUAACUUUACCACCUGUGCAAUUGCUUCACAAAAGCUAUGUUCAUUCUGAACAAUGAAUGCUAACAGGAUGAAGGUCACAUUGUUGACAUUAUGCCUCAAGUUGAAGUAGCUGUAAUGAUAUUUGAAAUGUAUCAGGCUAGAUAAGGAGCAGUCCGUUUUUAACUCGCUUCAUAUUUUAUGAUGAAUUUUCUGCCCUGAGUUUUGUCCAAGUACGUGGCUUGGCGUAUAAUUAUGUUAUUUGACUCUAUAUAGAGUCAGUAAGGAAUAGACAAAACCGAGACAAACUGUGACUCCUUUCGUUGUUGAAAAUAAACAUUUGAUGAAAUUGAA